CGAACGGCACCUAUCUUCGGAUAGAAGCGAGUGGCGAACGGCUGAGUAACACGUGGAGAACCUGCCCCCUCCCCCGGGAUAGCCGCCCGAAAGGACGGGUAAUACCGGAUACCCCCGGGCGCCGCAUGGCGCCCGGGCUAAAGCCCCGACGGGAGGGGAUGGCUCCGCGGCCCAUCAGGUAGACGGCGGGGUGACGGCCCACCGUGCCGACAACGGGUAGCCGGGUUGAGAGACCGACCGGCCAGAUUGGGACUGAGACACGGCCCAGACUCCUACGGGAGGCAGCAGUGGGGAAUCUUGCGCAAUGGGGGGAACCCUGACGCAGCGACGCCGCGUGCGGGACGGAGGCCUUCGGGUCGUAAACCGCUUUCAGCAGGGAAGAGUCAAGACUGUACCUGCAGAAGAAGCCCCGGCUAACUACGUGCCAGCAGCCGCGGUAAUACGUAGGGGGCGAGCGUUAUCCGGAUUCAUUGGGCGUAAAGCGCGCGUAGGCGGCCCGGCAGGCCGGGGGUCGAAGCGGGGGGCUCAACCCCCCGAAGCCCCCGGAACCUCCGCGGCUUGGGUCCGGUAGGGGAGGGUGGAACACCCGGUGUAGCGGUGGAAUGCGCAGAUAUCGGGUGGAACACCGGUGGCGAAGGCGGCCCUCUGGGCCGAGACCGACGCUGAGGCGCGAAAGCUGGGGGAGCGAACAGGAUUAGAUACCCUGGUAGUCCCAGCCGUAAACGAUGGACGCUAGGUGUGGGGGGACGAUCCCCCCGUGCCGCAGCCAACGCAUUAAGCGUCCCGCCUGGGGAGUACGGCCGCAAGGCUAAAACUCAAAGGAAUUGACGGGGGCCCGCACAAGCAGCGGAGCAUGUGGCUUAAUUCGAAGCAACGCGAAGAACCUUACCAGGGCUUGACAUAUGGGUGAAGCGGGGGAGACCCCGUGGCCGAGAGGAGCCCAUACAGGUGGUGCAUGGCUGUCGUCAGCUCGUGUCGUGAGAUG
rnacentral:rRNA from 1 species